AACGUAGGUCACAAGCGUUGUCCGGAAUUACUGGGUGUAAAGGGAGCGCAGGCGGGAAGACAAGUUGGAAGUGAAAUCCAUGGGCUCAACCCAUGAACUGCUUUCAAAACUGUUUUUCUUGAGUAGUGCAGAGGUAGGCGGAAUUCCCGGUGUAGCGGUGGAAUGCGUAGAUAUCGGGAGGAACACCAGUGGCGAAGGCGGCCUACUGGGCACCAACUGACGCUGAGGCUCGAAAGUGUGGGUAGCAAACAGGAUUAGAUACCCUGGUAGUGCUGACUGACU
rnacentral:rRNA from 1 species